rfam:Cavia porcellus supercont2_20 genomic scaffold, whole genome shotgun sequence.
GGGGAUUUAGCUCAGUGGCAUAAGCACCUGCCUUGCAAGCAGGCAGGCGGUCGUGAGUUCGAUCCCCG